GCCCAGCUGGCGGAAUUGGUAGACGCGCUAGACUCAAACUCUAGUACCGCAAGGUGUGCCGGUUCGAUUCCGGCGCUGGGUA
rnacentral:tRNA from 4 species